ACAGGGUUUGCCUUGGGUUGAGCAGAUAGGGAUCUGGUUGGCAGGGUGAAGGCUGUUCAGAUGCCGGAAAGAGAUCUAGUCACACUAGAAGCCCUUGCUUGUUCCAGUUUAAUUUCUUUAGGGAAGAUCUGUCCGGUGUUUUAGCUAGAGGCAAAUCCAGGCUCACUGCCUUGUGCUUGGGAUUAUAGGACUAGAAUGGUAGUACCUACAAUUAGGUAUUCUAUAUACAGAUCUUUAAUCUCCCUCUUUUCACACUCAUCCUUAAUUCUGUGUAUAGUAUAGGGUACACAUCUUCAGGUUCCAUCAGGUAGACUGGCUUCCAGCCCCUGGUAACAGAUUCUAGGCUGUGGCUUUCUCUAGUUAUUUUAUCUUCAACCUAAUCCUCUCUGCUCCUCCUCUCCUCCAAAAAAAUGGAAAACCUCUUAUUUGUUGGUGGCCUCCUUUAUUCUUUUUACUGUUAUGGGAUUUCAGUCAGCUCUUUGUGUUUUUUUCAGUGGGGUCUCAGGAGGUGGGCAGAUGAUAAAUGCAUGUGCUUUGUCUGCCAUCUCAAAGCUUCAGUUUUCUAUUGUUAAUUGUUACCACCUUCUGAAGUGAUAGCGACAUGAAUAGGUAAAAGUUCAACUGAGCAUUAUUUUGUUUUGUUUUGUUUUUCUCCCCCCUAUGUUGGCAGUUGUUUUAAAAAACAACACCCCGUUUAUUAGUUUCUUCUUUGUUCAUCAUUUUGCUUAAUAGAAGUUACACAAAAUUGGGGGCGAUAUAUUGUCUUUGCAGACUGUCAUUUGCAGAGGAGUCAUGAAUAAUGAUUCCAAAGCCCCUAGUUUAGCUCCUGAAUCAGACAAAGAAUAAAUGACAACAUAAGAAUGAAUUUUGUUUACAGCAAUAUUAUAAUACAACAUUGAAUUACUGCAGUGAAGUGGUUGCAGUUUUCACAAUAAAAUAUUACUAGCUCAAACACUAGACAAACUAAAAUCACCCGACUGCUUACAAACCGAAGUGAUCAGUGCAAGCAGUUGUUGCCUCAAUAGCGAAAAGCAAAAUCGGUAAGGCUUUUCUGGCAGUCUCUGACAUGAACGCUCCAUCUCUGCUCAGUGAGGACCUGGGCAGCCACACUUUGAAUCUUGGUCUUCCUUUUUAUCUAAAAGGGUGAAGUAGAUCCCCAGCUUUCUCAGUUCUCCCACCAGGUCCUCAUUCUGGCACAUCUGCAGAAGAAUGUUACAGCCCCUGACAAACUCUCCAUUGAGAUUGUCAUGGAGACUGCGCAGUUGUAGGAUAUGCACCACCGUGUUGCUGAAGCCGCAUUGGGGCUGCUCCGGCAUCCUCUUGAGGAAGUCCAGCACCUUGUCCUUCACCAGCGCCUCUCUGCUGCCCGAGUCUGUCGCACGUGCUGCAUGCCCAGCACAGCAGAGCCACCACUUCGCUGCUCAUCCCCACACAUUUGCUGGAGCCCACAAUGGCCCAGGCCCUCGAGCAUUAUUUUGAACUGAAAUACAGUAGACUUGAAAAUUUCAAGAAAGACUACUUCUGGAUUCUAUUUGGAUAACUUUUCCCGUUGCUUUGAUCUUACAGUCUUUUAAAUAGAAAACUAACACGUGGUCCUUGAAGAAAAGUUGGAAAACGGUCAGAUAGAAGAAAAAUCAAUAAUCCAAGGCCAUCACCAAAGCAGAAUUGCAUUUUGCAUUUACAUAUUUCCUUCAAACUUUUAUUCAAGUAUCUUUUGAAUUGUUGUAAUUAUGUGUGUCUGGAAUUUUACUUUUUUUUCCUGAAACUUAAUCCUCUAACGUAAAUCAUUUUUAUGUUACGUAGUCAUUUGUAAACUUCACUUUUAGUGUUUGUAAAUGGUCCAUUUUGUGAAUAUAGUUUACUUGACUAUUCUUUUCUUGGUGAGCACUUACGCUGUUUUCAUUUUUUAAAAGGAUUUUUAAAUAUAUAUGAUGAUGUAAUAUUAAAUAUCUUUAUUUAUUCACUUUUGUUUUCUGGAUUUAGGAUAAGUUUAGGAAUGUAUUCCCAGAAUUGGGGCCAGAAUUUGGGGAAGGGGAGAGAGGGUAGUUAAGAAAAAGGGAGAAGAUCAUAUUCUUUGGAACCAGGUUGGUUGCAAAAAAAGACAAGACUUUUUUAGGGCCAAUUUGUAGACUUGGUUAGAUGCUACACAAUUAUUUUGUGAAUAUAGUGAGUGAUUUUUAGUCUGUUUUUGCAGAUGUGGUUCAGGGUUCAUCGUGUGUCUAUUUAGACGAGAAUCCAGUGUUAUAAUCAUGACAAACUAAACCUCCUGCUUUUUCAAAUUAGCAGCUACUUUUACAGAUUUUGAUAUGAGUGCUACAAAAGAGAUGAUGGGUUUUUUGUGUAAUAGGAGAAUGCUCUGAUAAUUUUGUAUAAAGAGCAGUUAAG
rnacentral:lncRNA from 10 species